GAUGAACGCUGGCGGCGUGCCUAAUACAUGCAAGUCGAGCGAACGGACCAGCAUUUUGUUUCUCUGUUGUUAUCGGCGAAUGGGUGAGUAACACGUGGCUAACCUACCUUUAAGACUCGGCUAACUUCUGGAAACCGGAGCUAAUACCUGAUAAUCUUUUGAACCGCAUGGUUCAACAGUGAAAGACGGUCUUGCUGUUACUUAUAGAUGGAUCCGCGCUGCAUUAGCUAGUUGGUAAGGUAACGGCUUACCAAGGCAACGAUGCGUAGCCGCCCUGAGAGGGUGAUCGGCCACACUGGAACUGAGACACGGUCCAGACUCCUACGGGAGGCAGCAGUAGGGAAUCUUCCGCAAUGGGCGAAAGCCUGACGGAGCAACGCCGCGUGAGUGAUGAAGGUCUUCGGAUCGUAAAACUCUGUUAUUAGGGAAGAACAUAUGUGUAAGUAACUGUGCACAUCUUGACGGUACCUAAUCAGAAAGCCACGGCUAACUACGUG
rnacentral:rRNA from 1 species